UACAGAGGGUGCAAGCGUUGUUCGGAAUCAUUGGGCGUAAAGGGCGUGUAGGCGGUUUGUUAAGUCAUGUGUGAAAUCCCCAGGCUCAACCUGGGAACUGCGUCCGAUACUGGAUGGCUUGAAUUCGGGAGAGGGAUGCAGAAUUCCAGGUGUAGCGGUGAAAUGCGUAGAUAUCUGGAGGAAUACCGGUGGCGAAGGCGGCAUCCUGGACCGACAUUGACGCUGAGGAGCGAAAGCUAGGGGAGCAAACGGG
rnacentral:rRNA from 1 species